GGGGCGCCCGAGGGCGGGCUGCCCGCCUCCCGCUGAGGGGCACCUGGCGGCGGGACCGCGCCUCAGCGCCGCCUCGUCCCCCCGGCCGCCCUGCGCCGCCAUCCCUCCUCGCACGACAAGGGGAGAACAACGGGCACCGACGCUGGAGCACAGGCAGAGCUUUGAUUUUGUAAAGGAGCUGUUAUCACUUGAGGUUCGACAGCCACCCCGCCCCUCGCCAAAAGCAGAGUCCACAGGCAUAGAUAGAACCACAGAACGGCUGAGGUUGGAAGAGUUCUCUGGAUGUCAUCUGGUCCCAACCCCUGCUCAAGUACAGCUGUAUAGAUCUGCUGGCCCAAGACAAAGAUUUUGGGCACCUUCAAGAAUGGAGACUACCUCUCUGUGCAUUAUCAGGAACUGGAAAGAAGUCUCCUAGGUGAUCCUCUGGAGCAGGUAUCAACUCUGGAAGCUGGAGAAGCUGCAUGUUGCAUUUAUCAGCUGCUCUCUUCACUCC